rnacentral:misc_RNA from 1 species
GGAGGAUAUCUUAUUAGUAGAUUCUAGGCAUAAAUUGCUAAGUAACAUUAAUAGACAGUAACAAUUCACGCUGAUUCAUUCUAAUCUUUAGCCUUGCACAGAUUCUUAAAUAAAAAUAGUGUCAUCAUUUUCAUAUAUACCUACUUUUACUCGAAUUUUUUUUAUCUAAAUCUGAUCUAUUGUAGAUUCAAGAUACUAAAUGAGUU